rnacentral:snoRNA from 1 species
GUCUAAUGAUGAGACCAAGGCGAAUAGGAGCUUACUGAUUGAGAGUUGGGUACUUCUAGCCUUGACUGGCAGGUAAUCUUGGCAGUGCAGGGGAGAAUUCCUGUUCUGCUGUAAGGGCCUGCCCACAGUGACCUGGCUCACCCAAAUUAUUCUUCUACAGUCGCAGCUGAAUAAUUGCUGGGUUGAGGCUGACAGUGUGUGUGUGUGUGUGUGUGUGUGUGUGUGUAAGGCUAGGAGUUCACUCAGCUCUUUGUUGUUCAGUGGGCAAUGAAUUCUCUCUUUGGUAAUCUGAAGGCA